GACGAACCGAGCGAACGUUGUUCGGAAUCACUGGGCUUAAAGGGCGCGUCGGCGGGCUGUCAAGUCUGGGGUGAAAUCCCGCGGCUCAACCGUGGAACUGCCUCAGAUACUGACGGUCUCGAGGGGGAUAGGGGCGAGCGGAACUGUGAGUGGAGCGGUGAAAUGCGUUGAUAUUCACAGGAACUCCGGUGGCGAAGGCGGCUCGCUGGAUCUCUUCUGACGCUGAGGAGCGAAAGUGUGGGGAGCGAACAGG
rnacentral:rRNA from 1 species